rnacentral:rRNA from 1 species
GACGAACGCUGGCGGCGUGCUUAACACAUGCAAGUCGAACGGAAAGGCCCUGCUUUUGCGGGGUGCUCGAUUGGCGAACGGGUGAGUAACACGUGAGUAACCUGCCCUUGUCUUUGGGAUAACUUUAGGAAACUGGGGCUAAUAUAGGAUAGGAGCUCUUGCUGCAUGGUGGGGGUUGGAAAGUUUCGGCGGUUGGGGAUGGAAUCGCGGCUUAUCAGCUUGUUGGUGGGGUAGUGGCUUACCAAGGCUUUGACGGGUAGCCGGCCUGAGAGGGUGACCGGCCACAUUGGGACUGAGGUACGGCCCAGACUCCUACGGGAGGCAGCAGUGGGAAAUAUUGCACAAUGGGCGGAAGCCUGAUGCAGCAGCGCCGCGUGCGGUAUGACGGCCUUCGGGUUGUAAACCGCUUUCGCCUGUGACGAAGCGUGAGUGACGGUAAUGGGUAAAGAAGCACCGGCUAACUACGUG